rnacentral:rRNA from 1 species
UUCAGGCUAUAGGUCUUUCAGGAUAUGAUUUUUGGUGGUGCAUGGCCGUUGGUGGUGCGUGGGUUGACCUGUCUAGCGUUGAUUCAGAUAACGAGCGAGAUUAUCACCAAUUAAAUAUAUAAUAAUUUUUUUUAAAAUUAAUUAUUUUCUAAUUGGGACUCCCUGCGUCUAAGCAGGAGGAAGAUGA